UAAAAAAUGGGAGAUUUAUUUUUCACAGCAUUCAAAAUAUGAAAAGGAAGAAACCUUUACAAGUAAAUAAUACAUACAUGGUACUUUUUCCAAGUAUGAUAUGAUAUUUCCAAGUAUGAUACGACAUUCAGUGUUGUAGUAUUUAUAUGGGAACUGCAUAAUGAGGUACUUGGUUUCUAUUCAGAAAAGCAGGAUGUACUGUAAGGCGGUAGAUCCCCGUAAUAUCGCGUUUUACAUUUAAAAGGUUUAUCGUGAAUGCGGCCCCCACGAACAUUACCUUUAAAAAGGUGCAUAGCCGACAAAGCGCGAUUGGACUAAAUCCCAGCCUAAGACUGCAUCCACAAUGGCUGUAUUUACACAGGCAGCCUAAUUCUGAUCUUUUGCCAAUAAUUGGUCUUUUGACCAAUCAGAUCAGAUCUUUUGCCAAUAAUUGGUCUUUUGACCAAUCAGAUCAGAUAUUUUGCCAAUAGUUGGGCAACAGAUCAGAAUUGGGCUUCCUGUGUAAACACAGCCUUAGACAAUGGAUCAUAGACUGUAUAUAUUUUGCUGUAAAUACAUAGUCAUCGUCAGACUUUAGUUAUUUUUUUCACAGAUGAUCAUGAACGAAACCAUGAAAGUAGACUAUUGCUGCAUCCUGAAUAUAUUGCUUGACCCCUUGGUUACUUACAUUUCUCCAUACAUAGACAGAGACCAAGGUACGCUAUGACAAGUCAAAAAGCCAUAGCUCUCCAUAUGAGGAAAACAAAGCGUUAAGACAAAAACCUGAAGCUGUAUGUGAGAACAUUUAUUCACUGGUGUUUUAUCCAGGGGUGUAUUCAUGUGGCAAAAUGUUUUGCAGAGGAAAAGGAUUUGCAAAGAAAAUGAGUGUUUCUUAUUGGACAAGUUCAGGUUAGUCCCUCCCCAUUUCAUCCUGUUUGGUUCCGAGUGAAUAACCCUGAGGUAUCCUAGAGCACUGUUCCUUCAGGACCCUGGGAUAGAUAGUUGUAUUACCGGUCUAUUCUCAGGUGUUAGUGUAGUGGAGGUUUGUGAUGAGGUAGCACUGCCUGAGACUUGAAAUAUAUCAUUCUCACCCUUCGCGGAAUUUCCUCUUGGUCUAAUGGUUAACAUGUUGGUUUCCUGAGCAGGAGACCAGGGUUCAGAUUGCACCCGUAACAGUUUUAACGUUCCUCCAAGAAGGAGGAACCCAUAGCUUGCUAUUCGCUGGUAUAGAAGUUAGAAAAACACAGUUCUAGAGAAACACUACAUAUGCAGUGUCGUCUGUUACCAUGGUAAAGACAUUACACUAGGAAGGAAGCUGAUAGAGAAUAGAACAUUGUUGUUAUGUUUAAUUACUUGGGGAGAUAAAACAAAUAAAACACAGAAAGAUGAAGAUCUGCAUCCUCAAACCUGAGCCAUAACUACCACUACAGUCUACCCUGGCUGAGCCAUAACUACCACUACAGUCUACCCUGGCUGAGCCAUAACUACCACUACAGUCUACCCUGGCUGAGAGCCAUAACUACCACUACAGUCUACCCUGGCUGAGAGCCAUAACUACCACUACAGUCUACCCUGGCUGAGCCAUAACUACCACUACAGUCUACCCUGGCUGAGAGCCAUAACUACCACUUACAGUCUACCCUGGCUGAGAGCCAUAACUACCACUACAGUCUACCCUGGCUGAGAGCCAUAACUACCACUACAGUCUACCCUGGCUGAGAGCCAUAACUACCACUACAGUCUACCCUGGCUGAGAGCCAUAACUACCACUACAGUCUACCCUGGCUGAGAGCCAUAUAACUACCAUUACAGUCUACCCUGGCUGAGCCAUAACUACCAUUACAGUCUACCCUGGCUGAGCCAUAACUACCACUACAGUCUUCCCUGGCUGAGAGCCAUAACUACCACUACAGUCUACCCUGGCUGAGAGCCAUAACUACCACUACAGUCUACCCUGGCUGAGAGCCAUAACUACCACUACAGUCUACCCUGGCUGAGCCAUAACUACCACUACAGUCUACCCUGGCUGAGAGCCAUAACUACCACUACAGUCUACCCUGGCUGAGAGCCAUAACUACCACUACUGGGAUUGAAACAUUACUAGAGCAGGAUAAUGUUGAUACUGGCAGGUAGAAAUAUCGGGUGUGAUCACCGGUGACAUCACAAAACAAUCGAGCCCUGCCCAGAAACCACCCUAGGCCUACUCAAGUCUAUACCCUUAAAUCUGAGAGGGUUGGAUAGGUAUAAGGAAUAGGGUGAAGUGUUCACCUUGCCUGUCAGAGAGCAAAUGAGACUGUAGUGGUAGAUAUCGCGCAGCCAGGAUUGACUGUAGUGGUAGAUAUCGCGCAGCCAGGAUUGACUGUAGUGGUAGAUAUCGCGCAGCCAGGAUUGACUGUAGUGGUAGAUAUCGCGCAGCCAGGAUUGACUGUAGUGGUAGAUAUCGCGCAGCCAGGAUUGACUGUAGUGGUAGAUAUCGCGCAGCCAGGAUUGACUGUAGUGGUAGAUAUCGCGCAGCCAGGAUUGACUGUAGUGGUAGAUAUCGCGCAGCCAGGAUUGACUGUAGUGGUAGAUAUCGCGCAGCCAGGAUUGACUGUAGUGGUAGAUAUCGCGCAGCCAGGAUUGACUGUAGUGGUAGAUAUCGCCGCAGCCAGGAUUGACUGUAGUGGUAGAUAUCGCGCAGCCAGGAUUGACUGUAGUGGUAGAUAUCGCGCAGCCAGGUUUGACUGUAGUGGUAGAUAUCGCGCAGCCAGGAUUGACUGUAGUGGUAGAUAUCGCGCAGCCAGGUUUGACUGUAGUGGUAGAUAUCGCGCAGCCAGGUUUGACUGUACGGUGUACAAAUAUUACCAUAUUUUUCUAUACCCAUCCAAUUCUUCAAGAUCCACACAAGGGUCUAGACUCAAGAGUAGGGGUCUCUUCUAGAAGGGGGCCAUUGCAUUUUUUGCUGAAAGACAAUCUAGCAACACAUUUCUUUACAGAGAGAAAAAUGUAAGCACUAGCUACAUAGCUUUUGACCCCGAGCCACUCAUACCAAUAGAAUAUAUUAUAAAAAUCAAUAACACAAAACCAUAUUUCAGGGUUCUCCCCAGGAUUUUGGACUCAGAGAUUGUUGCAUGUUUUAACACCUGUAAAUGCAAUUUCCUGCAAUCUAGAGCAAAACAUUGCCUUAAAAUGAUAAAAUAAAGUUGCAAUAUAUAUAUUUUAAAAAAUAAUACAGUGGCACAGCGCCCCGCUUACAUUCUUUGGGGAGAACCAUGAUAUUUAGAAAAUUAAAAACAGAAAACACAUUAUUAUUAUUAUUAUUAUUAUUAUGUAAAAUGAAAAACAAUAAUGCCCCAAUCAGAUACGGUGUAAAAUCAGUGUUCUGCAACUGCGUACAUUACAACAACAGGUAUUUACAUACAAGAUCCAGACUCUUAUUUGGGUU